rnacentral:tRNA from 1 species
CAUUAAGAAGCUAUGCAUCAGCACUAGCCUUUUAAGCUAGAGAAAGAGGCCUAACACCUCCUUAAUGA